GACGAACGCGGCGGCGUGCCUAAUACAUGCAAGUUGAGCGCUGAAGGUUGGUACUUGUACCAACUGGAUGAGCAGCGAACGGGUGAGUAACGCGUGGGGAAUCUGCCUUUGAGCGGGGGACAACAUUUGGAAACGAAUGCUAAUACCGCAUAAAAACUUUAAACACAAGUUUUAAGUUUGAAAGAUGCAAUUGCAUCACUCAAAGAUGAUCCCGCGUUGUAUUAGCUAGUUGGUGAGGUAAAGGCUCACCAAGGCGAUGAUACAUAGCCGACCUGAGAGGGUGAUCGGCCACAUUGGGACUGAGACACGGCCCAAACUCCUACGGGAGGCAGCAGUAGGGAAUCUUCGGCAAUGGACGAAAGUCUGACCGAGCAACGCCGCGUGAGUGAAGAAGGUUUUCGGAUCGUAAAACUCUGUUGGUAGAGAAGAACGUUGGUGAGAGUGGAAAGCUCAUCAAGUGACGUAACUA
rnacentral:rRNA from 1 species